rnacentral:rRNA from 1 species
CACGUAGGCGGCUUUGCAAGUCCGAUGUGAAAUCCCUCGGCUCAACCAAGGAAGUGCAUCGGAAACUGCAGAGCUUGAGUACAAAAGAGGAUCGCGGAAUUCCCGGUGUAGAGGUGAAAUUCGUAGAUAUCGGGAGGAACACCAGUGGCGAAGGCGGCGAUCUGGGUUGAUACUGACGCUGAGGUGCGAAAGCGUGGGAGCAAACA